rnacentral:miRNA from 1 species
UGAUUUUUAUGAUUUUUUUGAUUAUCCUGAUGAGCGGAGAUAUUCGCGUAUAUCAUUACUUUAAUCUCCGCUCAUCAGGAUAAUCAAAAAAAUCAUAA